GCGCGAUUAGCUCAGUGGCAGAGCACCUUUUUGACGUAAAGGGGGCCGUGGGUCCGAUUCCCUCAUCGCGCA
rnacentral:tRNA from 1 species